UACGUAGGGUGCAAGCGUUGUCCGGAAUUAUUGGGCGUAAAGAGCUCGUAGGCGGUUUGUCGCGUCUGCUGUGAAAACUCGGGGCUUAACCCCGGGCCUGCAGUGGGUACGGGCAGACUAGAGUGCGGUAGGGGAGACUGGAAUUCCUGGUGUAGCGGUGAAAUGCGCAGAUAUCAGGAGGAACACCAAUGGCGAAGGCAGCUCGCUGGGACGUGACUGACGCUGAGACGCGAAAGCGUGGGGAGCAAACAGG
rnacentral:rRNA from 1 species